AAGCGGCUAAUUUAUGCAAUUGUGUAAAUAUGACCAGGUUGAUUUGCUGAUGAGGGGCAAAAGACAGAUCGUGUGGAUAUCAGUUUACAGCCAGAAGAGCUGGAGGCCAUGUAUGAGGAGGCAAGAGAAGAGGAGAGAAGCUACGCAAUAAGUCAGAGGACUUCAGUGACAUGGUCGCCGAGGUAAUGAUUGAACUUAAGAUAUAUAUAACUGUUUUAAUACCAUUGACAUGCACAGAUACAAGAAGUACAUCAGAUAUGAAUCAUGCAAG